rnacentral:ncRNA from 2 species
UCGAGACUUUCGGAGGAGGUAAUGACCAGUUCCAUUGGUGCCUUUUGGUACUGUGGAUAGGGGUACGGUUUUCCACCGUACCGAAACAUAGCAGAGGGCCAGUCUGGUGCCAGCAGCUGCGGUAAUUCCAGCUCUGCGAGUUUGCUCCCAUAUUGUUGCAGUUAAAACGCCCGUAGUCUGAAUUGGCCAGCAAUGGUCGUACGUAUUUUUACGUUCACUGUGAACAAAUCAGGACGCUUAGAGUAUGGCCACAUGAAUGACUCAGCGCAGUAUGAAGUCUUUGUUUUCUUCCGAAAACAAGCUCAAUGAGAGCCAUCGGGGGUAGAUCUAUCUCAUGACGAGUGGUGGAAUACUUUGACUCAUGAGAGAGAAGCUGAGGCGAAGGCGUCUACCUAGAGGGUUUCUGUCGAUCAAGGGCGAGAGUAGGAGUAUCCAACAGGAUUAGAGACCCUGGUAGUUCCUACCUUAAACGAUGCCGACAGGAGUUUGUCAUUUGUUAAUGGCAGAAUCUUUGGAGAAAUCAUAGUUCUUGGGCUCUGGGGGAACUACGACCGCAAGGCUGAAACUUGAAGGAAUUGACGGAAGGGCACACCAGGGGUGGAGCCUGUGGCUUAAUUUGAAUCAACACGGGGAAACUUACCAGGACCAGAUGUUUUUUAUGACUGACAGGCUUCGGGUCUUUCAGGAUAUUGUUUUUGGUGGUGCAUGGCCGUUGGUGGUGCGUGGGUUGACCUGUCUAGCGUUGAUUCAGCUAACGAGCGAGAUUAUCGCCAAUUAUUUACUUUGCCGAAGUCCUUCGGUUAAAGUUCUAAUUGGGACUCCCUGCGAUUUUAGCAGGUGGAAGAGGGUAGCAAUAACAGGUCCGUGAUGCCCUUUAGAUGCUCUGGGCUGCACGCGUGCUACAAUGUUAGGAUCAAUAGGACUGCGAGCCUGAGAGGGUGCGCUACUCUUAUAAUCCCUAACGUAGUUGGGAUUGACGUUUGUAAUCAGCG